CUGGUUGAUCCUGCCAGAAGUUAUUGCUUGUUUCAAGGAUUAAGCCAUGCAUCUGUUAGAAUAGCACCACUGAACGGUGCUUAUCGGGGAAUGGCUCAUUACAAGAGAGUUAAAUUACUUGAUUGUGAAAUUUAGAAGGAUAACUGCAAUAAUUUUGGAGCUAAUACUUGACAAAAAGCGCGCAAGCGCUGUGAUAGAUAGUUCCUAGAGCCUUAACUUCUAAUGAGAUAUAUCUAUAUCGACGAAAGCCAGUGGGUUCGCCCGGGCUUGUUUCAAUCAUGACUCUCACUUAUCAGGUUGAUGUUAGUGUAUUGGACUAACAUGCCGGCAACGAGUACGGGGGAUUAGGGUUUGAUUCCGGAGAGGGAGCUUGAGAAACGGCUGCCAACACUAAGGUGUGCAGCAGGCGCGUAAUUUACCCAAUGCAGCAAUUGUGAGGUAGCGACGAAAAAUAACAAAGACAACCAAUCACAUUGGAUGUCUAUUGGAAUGAGAGCAAUUUAAACAACUCAACAGUAGCUAGAAGAGGGAAGUCUGGUGCCAGCAGCCGCGGUAAUUCCAGCUCUUCGAGCGUAUAUUUAAGUUGUUGCGGUUAAAAAGUUCGUAGUCGAAUCUUUGACUUGGCGCGGUGUGGGUCCGUCAAUUCGAUGUGUACCUCACCGACAAGUCACGAGCGACUCAUUGCGCGCGCGCGUGGUUAAUUCUGCGCGCGUGUCGUGUGAGUCUUUUUACUGUGAAUAAUUCGGAGUGUUCAAGACAGGCCAACUGGGCCACUGAACGAUCAUGCAUGGGAUAAUAGAAAAGGACUUUGUUCUGAUUCUUUUGGUUCAAUCAGCGAAGUAAUGAUUAAUACGAACGGGGGGGGCGCUCCGUAUGCAGCAAGAAGAGGUGAAAUUCUAUGAUUUGCUGCAGACGAACUACUGCGAAGGCAUUGCGCAACAACGUUUUCGAUUGAUCAAGAACGAAAGUGUGGGGAUCGAAGAUGAUCAGAUACCGUCGUAGUCCACACCCUAAACUAUACUGACCAAGGAUCAUAGGACGAUCAGUUUCAUCACGCCUCCUUUGGAACUUUAGAGAAAUUAGAGUUUUUGAGUUCCGGGGGGAGUAUGGUCGCAAGGCUGAAACUUAAAGGAAUUGACGGAAGGGCACCACCAGGAGUGGAGCUUGCGGCUUAAUUUGACCCAACACGGGAAAUCUCACCGGGGCCGGACAUAAUUAGGAGUGUCAGAUUGAAAGCUCUUACACGAUCUUAUGGGUGGUGGUGCAUGGCCGUUCUUAGUUGGUGGAGUGAUUUGUCUGGUUAAUUCCGUUAACGAGCGAGACCAAAACUUACUAAAUAGGCGCGUUAACCGUCUGAUAUGCCGUGCAGGUCAAACGGCAGAGGAGCCUAACGGCUCCGCUCUGGUUGGCUGAAUCAGUUGAUGCGUUGGCGACGUCUUCUUAGAAGGACUG
rnacentral:rRNA from 1 species